GACGAACGCUGGCGGCGUGCCUAACACAUGCAAGUCGAACGGAGAAUUAGCAAUAAUUCUUAGUGGCGAACGGGUGAGUAACGCGUAGACAACCUACCCUUUAGAUGGGGACAACACCGCGAAAGUGGUGCUAAUACCGAAUAUUGCUUGAGAAGCGCAUGCUUUUCAAACUAAAGAUGGCCUCUAUAUAUAAGCUAUCGCUAAAGAAUGGGUCUGCGUCUGAUUAGCUAGUUGGUGAGAUAAAAGCUCACCAAGGCAACGAUCAGUAGCCGGUCUGAGAGGAUGAGCGGCCACACUGGGACUGAGACACGGCCCAGACUCCUACGGGAGGCAGCAGUGGGGAAUCUUCCGCAAUGGACGAAAGUCUGACGGAGCAACGCCGCGUGAGUGAUGAAGGUUUUCGGAUCGUAAAACUCUGUUGUUAAGGACGAAUGUAUAGAUUGUGAAUAAUGGUUUAUAAUGACGGUACUUAACGAGGAAGCCACGGCUAACUACGUGCCAGCCGCCGCGGUAA
rnacentral:rRNA from 1 species